GGCGGAGGAUGCAAGUGUUAUCCGGAAUCACUGGGCGUAAAGCGUCUGUAGGUGGUCAAAUAAGUCAACUGUUAAAUCUUGAGGCUCAACCUCAAAAUCGCAGUCGAAACUAUUAGACUAGAGUAUAGUAGGGGUAAAGGGAAUUUCCAGUGGAGCGGUGAAAUGCGUAGAGAUUGGAAAGAACACCGAUGGCGAAGGCACCUUACUGGGCUAUUACUAACACUCAGAGACGAAAGCUGGGGGAGCAAACCGG
rnacentral:rRNA from 1 species